UGGGGGAUAUUGCACAAUGGGCGAAAGCCUGAUGCAGCGACGCCGCGUGGGGGAUGAAGGCCUUCGGGUUGUAAACUUCUUUUGCUCUGAACAAGGCGCACCAUGGGGUGUGUUGAGUGUAGGGGUUGAUUAGCGCCGGCUAACUACGUGCCAGCAGCCGCGGGAAUACGUAGGGCGCGAGCGUUGUCCGGAAUUAUUGGGCGUAAAGGGCUUGUAGGUGGCUGGUUGCGUCUGUCGUGAAAGCUCAUGGCUUAACUGGGGGUUUGCGGUGGGUACGGGCUGGCUUGAGUGCAGUAGGGGAGGCUGGAAUUCCUGGUGUAGCGGUGGAAUGCGCAGAUAUCAGGAGGGAUACCGGUGGCGAAGGCGGGUCUCUGGGCUGUUACUGACACUGAGGAGCGAAAGCAUGGGGAGCGAACAGG
rnacentral:rRNA from 1 species